CGGCACCUAUCUUCGGAUAGAAGCGAGUGGCGAACGGCUGAGUAACACGUGGAGAACCUGCCCCCUCCCCCGGGAUAGCCGCCCGAAAGGACGGGUAAUACCGGAUACCCCGGGGUGCCGCAUGGCACCCCGGCUAAAGCCCCGACGGGAGGGGAUGGCUCCGCGGUCCAUCAGGUAGACGGCGGGGUGACGGCCCACCGUGCCGACAACGGGUAGCCGGGUUGAGAGACCGACCGGCCAGAUUGGGACUGAGACACGGCCCAG
rnacentral:rRNA from 1 species